GGGAACGCCGGAGUGAGCAGCAGACACCACGAGCAGGGGCGAGCGGGCUCCUGCUGGCUUCGGAGCGCAGGGAGCAGCUGCACAGAUCCCAUCGAGGCGCUGGGAAGGACAGAAAUUUGCCUUGUGCUCUUCCAGGGCGUCCUCACUGCUCCCCAGCAGCACCGGGGACGGGGAGCCUGCCACCUUUCCGCCGUCGGCUGCUUUGGGCCCGCCAGCGCUUCUCGU